rnacentral:rRNA from 1 species
UACGGAGGGUGCAAGCGUUAAUCGGAAUUACUGGGCGUAAAGCGCACGCAGGUGGCUGAGUCAGUCGAUUGUGAAAGCCCUGGGCUUAACCUGGGAAUUGCAGUCGAUACUACUCAGCUAGAGUACUAAAGAGGGUCGCGGAAUUCCCGGUGUAGAGGUGAAAUUCGUAGAUAUCGGGAGGAACACCGGUGGCGAAGGCGGCGACCUGGGUAGAUACUGACGCUGAGGCGCGAAAGCGUGGGGAGCAAACAGG